rnacentral:rRNA from 1 species
UACGAAGGGGGCUAGCGUUGCUCGGAAUGACUGGGCGUAAAGGGCGCGUAGGCGGAUUGCUUUGUCGGGCGUGAAAUUCCAGGGCUUAACCUUGGGGCUGCGUUCGAGACGGGUGAUCUUGAGUUCGGAAGAGGGUCGUGGAAUUCCCAGUGUAGAGGUGAAAUUCGUAGAUAUUGGGAAGAACACCGGUGGCGAAGGCGGCGACCUGGUCCUUGACUGACGCUGAGGCGCGAAAGCGUGGGGAGCAAACAGG